rnacentral:lncRNA from 1 species
GGUCACUAUUUUGGUUAUAACGUUUUUUUAGUAAUACAUUGUUUUAUAAACUUUCAGUGCACAAGUACCACAAUUACACAGAAGCGCAUGCUUCUGCAUUCAUUCACGGUACAGUUAUACGAUUUUUGGCAGAUACUAUGAUGUCCUUUUCUGUUCUUUAUGUUUCCAGUUAUAUAAUAUUUUUUACUUUAAUGCUUUAAUCAUUUUCUGCAGGCAAUAUCAACCCUAGACGUAUAAAACUGUUAAUUUUAAGAUUUAUGGCUAUUUUUGUCAUUAUUUUACCUACAUGCACCAAACUUUGAUAGUUCCUCUUACACAGACUGUCUUCCUAAUGAGGACUAUGCUAGAUGUGUAUGAUUACAUAUAUAUAAUACAGGUUAAUGUAGAUGCAAUGUUUUAUUUAUUUAAGGUGGUAUCCAACACUUUAACUAAAAUUAAUUGGGUUUCGUUUAGUUUUCAUAAAAUUUUGUCAAAGUAUUUACUUUCAAUUGACC